ACCGAGUGUCACGACGAAGGAAGUCGAUCGGGCGUGCGGGCCCGUCGUCGUCGUCUCGUAACGAAGUGAAUCGUGUUCCCACGGUUGGAGAAUCUUCCAAAUCAGUGAACAGGGGAUCAAUCGACCCGUAGACGCCCGUGCGGGCUUCCUCUGUGCAUCGUUCGGCGGACGACAGCCCGAGAUAUGUCGUCGAGUUGUUUCGCCCCCGAUCCCAUUCGACCACCGAUCGACCUCAGCGAGCAGUCCGAUACAGUCAAGGGUACCGACCUGAUCCGAGUGUCGAGGUUUUAUAAGGACAGCAAGGAGGGAAAGUUCGUCAGCAACAUCCACGAGGACACUAGGACCCUGUACGAUGGCUUCCGGAAAGGCGCCAAAGAGUCCAACAAUGGCCCUUGUCUCGGCUGGCGGGACGGACCCAACAAACCGUACCAGUGGCUCCAUUACAACGAGACCCUGCUCAGGGCGAAGAAUUUCGGGUCAGGCCUAGUGUCCAUGGGCCUAUCACCAGGUUCACACACACUGAUCGGUUUGUACAGCCAAAACUGUCCCGAAUGGAUCCUCACCGAGCAGGCCUGCUACACGUAUUCCCUCGUGGUGGUGCCCCUCUACGACACCCUGGGCCCAGAUGCCUGCGCCUUUAUCAUCAAUCAGGCCGAAAUCAACCUGGUCGUCUGUGAGAAUGACAAGAAGUGCAAUUUGCUGCUUGAUAAAGCGCCCAGAUGUCUAAGGAAGCUGGUGGUAGUGAAGGAGGUGCGUCAAGCAACGCACCAGAGGGCGAAGAAUCGUGGCGUUGAGGUGGUUAGGUUCGAGGACGUCGAGCGUCUCGGCGCCCAGAAGAGUCAUCCAGAAGUGGCGCCCAAGGUGACCGAUCUGUGCACGGUGUGCUACACAUCCGGGACCACCGGCAACCCAAAAGGUGUGAUGUUGACCCACCAAAACGUAAUGGCGGGCGUGUGCGCGGUUCUGCUGCAGCUGGGCGAGCAUAAACCCUCGUACAAGGACACGAUGAUCAGUUUCUUGCCUCUGGCACACAUGUUGGAACGGUGCUGCGAGAACGCUAUGUACAUGGUGGGCGGGUCCGUGGGCUUUUACAGCGGUGACAUCAAAACGUUAGCCGAGGAUAUGAGAGCCUUGAGGCCUACCGUGAUGCCAGCGGUCCCGAGGCUCUUGAAUCGAAUGUACGACAAGGUCCAAGCGGAACUUCAAAGCUCGUGUUUCAAAAAGUUGGUGUUCAGUAUGGGCAUGCGGGCGAAGGAGGGGGAGAUCAAGAAAGGCAUCAUACGGAACAACAGUGUUUGGGACAAGCUCGCCUUUGGCAAGAUCAAAGAGUCGACAGGUGGACGGUUAAGACUGAUGGUCGUGGGUUCUGCGCCCCUUGCCGGAAAUGUGCUCACAUUCGCGAGGUGUGCCCUUGGCUGCUUGAUCGUCGAGGGGUACGGUCAGACGGAGUGUUGUGCGCCGAUUACUCUUACGAUUCAGGGCGAUCAUGUACCGGAACACGUGGGACCACCGGUUGCUUGUUGUUGCGUCAAAUUAGUGGAUGUCCCGGAAAUGGAAUACUACGCCAGGAAGAGCCAAGGUGAAGUAUGCGUGAAGGGUACUAACGUGUUCGUCGGGUACUUCAAGGAUCCCGAAAAAACUGCUGAGGUUAUCGACGAGUUCGGAUGGCAUCAUACGGGGGACAUCGGCAUGUGGUUGCCUAACGGAACGCUCAAAAUAAUCGACAGAAAGAAGCAUAUCUUUAAGUUAUCGCAAGGAGAAUACAUAGUUCCAGAAAAAAUUGAGAAUAUUUAUUUACGCAGUCAAUAUGUACACCAAGUAUUCGUCCACGGGGAAUCCCUAAAGUCUUGCGUCGUAGGAAUCGUGAUACCGGAUGUAGACGUUGUAAAGUGUUGGGCGGUGGAAAACGGUAUACCGGGAACACUAAGCGUGUUGUGCAAUAAUCCGCAGGUGAAACAAUUAAUUUUGGAUGACAUGCUUGCGUGGGGAAAGGAAGCUGGCCUUAAAUCCUUCGAACAGGUCAAAGAUAUAUAUUUACAUCCGGACCCGUUCUCCGUUCAAAAUGGCCUCCUGACGCCGACAUUGAAAACAAAACGGCCCCAGUUGAAAGACUAUUUCAAACCACAAAUCGAGGAUCUCUACCGACAUUUGGACUGACCAGACUGAACAUUCAUUUCGAUUUGUUUUCAUUAGCAUUGGGAGCAGCAAAGACAGGAAGGAUCGAAAUAUGCCUUUGUGUCUCGUCCGCACAGACGUCACUUCCGUCAUCGAAUACGUUCGUUAUUCCGCGUAACUUUUAUUAUGUCAUUUUCACGAUUACAUAGCGACGCAAGAGAAAAGGGAAAGCACCGUUUUAGGCUAUUAAGCAAUAAUUUAGCCAGACUCUGGACUUAGUACAAACUAGGAUACUCGAACGUUGAUCGCCGAAGCAAACCCGCACUUUGUCAAUUUGCAAAGUUUACGUAAUAAAUAAAACCAUGUGAAGAUGAUUCCAAAUGUUUACAAACCCCCGAAACGUUUGCUGAUAUCAUUAGAACUGGACAAGAAACAUUUUUUAUUACUAACAACAAUACAUUACAACUAUUUCCUCCUUUUUAGCGAUUGUACAAUUGUGAAUCAAUUUGAAGCGUGGGUUGGUACGAAACUGGUAUAAAACUCAUAUGAAAAUAACAGUAAAAAGUCAAAUGCACACACCGUUUCAAAUACGAAGUU
rnacentral:misc_RNA from 1 species